UGAAACAAAAUACCUUGGGGUUCCCUCUUUGAGGGAUAAUAGGGAAGCCGGUGUGAAUCCGGCGCGGUCCCGCCACUGUGAAAGGGAGUUUUCCGUGAUGACCACCGGCGUGAGCUGGGAAGGGACGUGAAAGCGAUGAUCUUGAGCCAGGAGACCUACCCCAGGGUUGGCACAGAC
rnacentral:ncRNA from 2 species